rnacentral:lncRNA from 1 species
UGUCUGCAUCUGCUGGUCUUCGUGAGGAGUGAGGACACUGUCUGCGUAAAGCACAUUCCCUUUCGCCUGUCUGCUACAGAGCAGUGUGGGCAGGACCUGGGACUUACUUAUGGGCUGCUGAAUAUGACAAGCAUGAGGGGAUUUUACUGGAUCCUGAAUUCUUCUAGUCUCCUGAAAUAUCUGGCUAAAAAUCUACAAACUACCAUUUUCAAUUUUUUCCAUCAUUUCCAUUUGGACUCAUUGAGAACUGAACCUGCCUGUUUUCCUGAAGCCAAGCAAACUGAAGCUGGAGGACUUGAUAUAAAAUUAAGAGAGAUUCAUGUCUGUUGCUAUGUAAGCCAUUCAUAAAUAUACCUGAAUACCCAAUGACAUCAUUAGAGACGUUUCAAACUUAAAAAGAUGCUUUGACGCUGACAUCUAGAAAUCUUUUUGACAGGCUGCCCCCUGGGCUCUGAAACUGGUUUAUAAUUUGCU